AGGUCACUGCUAUCGGUGUUCGAUUAAGCCAUGCGAGUCGUGAGGGGUAAAGCCCUCGGCGGAGUGCUCAGUAACACGUGGACAACCUACCCAAGAGUCAGGGAUAACCCCGGGAAACUGGGGAUAAUACCUGAUAGGCCAUGACAUCUGGAAUCGAGUUGUGGUUUAAACGUAAGGCUCUUGGAUGGGUCUGCGGCGGAUUAGGUUGUUGCCGGUGUAACGUACCAGCAAGCCCGUAAUCCGUACGGGUUGUGGGAGCAAGAGCCCGGAGAUGGAUUCUGAGACACGAAUCCAGGCCCUACGGGGCGCAGCAGGCGCGAAAACUCUACAAUGCAGGCAACUGCGAUAGGGGAACAUCGAGUGGCAUCCACCAUGGAUGUCUGUCCAAUCGUCUAAAAAACGAUUGUCAGCAAGGGCCGGGCAAGACCGGUGCCAGCCGCCGCGGUAAUACCGGCGGCUCGAGUGGUGGCCGAUAUUAUUGAGUCUAAAGGGUCCGUAGCCGGCUUUGCAAGUCCUAUGGGAAAUCCAGCGGCUUAACCGUUGGGCUUUCAUGGGAUACUACAUUGCUUGGGACUGGGAGAGGUAGGAGGUACUCAGGGGGUAGGGGUGAAAUCCUGUAAUCCUUUGGGGACCACCGGUGGCGAAGGCGUCCUACCAGAACAGGUCCGACGGUGAGGGACGAAAGCUAGGGGCACGAACCGGAUUAGAUACCCGGGUAGUCCUAGCCGUAAACGAUGCUCGCUAGGUGUCACGGCAGUCGUGAAUUGUCGUGGUGCCGUAGGGAAGCCGUGAAGCGAGCCACUUGGGAAGUACGACCGCAAGGUUGAAACUUAA
rnacentral:rRNA from 1 species